GACCGCCUGGGGAGUACGGCCGCAAGGUUAAAACUCAAAUGAAUUGACGGGGGCCCGCACAAGCGGUGGAGCAUGUGGUUUAAUUCGAUGCAACGCGAAGAACCUUACCUGGUCUUGACAUCCACAGAAGAAUCCAGAGAUGGAUUUGUGCCUUCGGGAACUGUGAGACAGGUGCUGCAUGGCUGUCGUCAGCUCGUGUUGUGAAAUGUUGGGUUAAGUCCCGCAACGAGCGCAACCCUUAUCCUUUGUUGCCAGCGGUUAGGCCGGGAACUCAAAGGAGACUGCCAGUGAUAAACUGGAGGAAGGUGGGGAUGACGUCAAGUCAUCAUGGCCCUUACGACCAGGGCUACACACGUGCUACAAUGGCGCAUACAAAGAGAAGCGACCUCGCGAGAGCAAGCGGACCUCAUAAAGUGCGUCGUAGUCCGGAUUGGAGUCUGCAACUCGACUCCAUGAAGUCGGAAUCGCUAGUAAUCGUGGAUCAGAAUGCCACGGUGAAUACGUUCCCGGGCCUUGUACACACCGCCCGUCACACCAUGGGAGUGGGUUGCAAAAGAAGUAGGUAGCUUAACCUUCGGGAGGGCGCUUACCACUUUGUGAUUCAUGACUGGGGUGAAGUCGUAACAAGGUAACCGUAGGGGAACCUGCGGUUG
rnacentral:rRNA from 3 species